rnacentral:rRNA from 1 species
AAAUUGAAGAGUUUGAUCAUGGCUCAGAUUGAACGCUGGCGGCAGGCCUAACACAUGCAAGUCGAGCGGAAACGACACU